AUCCGGGGUCAUAAUCCGGGGUCAGGUCCUCCAUUUCUACACGAGCUGUGCCGUAGGCGCGCUUACGGCACAGCUCGUGUAGAAAUGGAGGACCUGACCCCGGAGUUUA
rnacentral:sRNA from 1 species